rnacentral:tRNA from 1 species
GAUUCCGUUUCUGGGAAGGGUCCAAACUACGAAUCUGGGGGUCAGGAGUUCGAAUCUCUUCGGGCGCUCCA